AGUGAACGCUGGCGGUAGGCCUAACACAUGCAAGUCGAACGGCAGCACAGUAAGAGCUUGCUCUUACGGGUGGCGAGUGGCGGACGGGUGAGGAAUACAUCGGAAUCUACUUUUUCGUGGGGGAUAACGUAGGGAAACUUACGCUAAUACCGCAUACGACCUACGGGUGAAAGCAGGGGAUCUUCGGACCUUGCGCGAUUGAAUGAGCCGAUGUCGGAUUAGCUAGUUGGCGGGGUAAAGGCCCACCAAGGCGACGAUCCGUAGCUGGUCUGAGAGGAUGAUCAGCCACACUGGAACUGAGACACGGUCCAGACUCCGACGGGAGGCAGCAGUGGGGAAUAUUGGACAAUGGGCGCAAGCCUGAUCCAGCCAUACCGCGUGGGUGAAGAAGGCUUCGGGUUGUAAAGCCCUUUUGUUGGGAAAGAAAAGCAGCAGGUUAAUACCCCGCUGUUCUGACGGUACCCAAAGAAUAAGCACCGGCUAACUUCGUG
rnacentral:rRNA from 1 species